rnacentral:rRNA from 1 species
AUUGAACGCUGGCGGCAGGCCUAACACAUGCAAGUCGAGCGCGCGGCGGAUAGGUGAGAAAUGUCUGUGAAAAUCCCUCAUGGGGGGGGAUAACUAUUCUAGACGGUAGCUAAUACCGCAUACCAUCUGCUGUUCCCCGAUGGGAUUUCCUAGUAGGUGGGGGAAUGGCUCACCUAGGCGACGAUCCCUAGCUGGUCUGAGAGGAUGACCAGCCACACUGGAACUGAGACACGGUCCAGACUCCUACGGGAGGCAGCAGUGGGGAAUAUUGCACAAUGGGCGCAAGCCUGAUGCAGCCAUGCCGCGUGUGUGAAGAAGGCCUUCGGGUUGUAAAGCACUUUCAGCGGGGAGGCGUUACCCGCAGAAGAAGCACCGGCUAACUCCGUGCCAGCAGCCGCGGUAAUAC